GACGAACGCUGGCGGCGUGCUUAACACAUGCAAGUCGAACGAUGAAGCCGGAGCUUGCUCUGGUGAAUUAGUGGCGAACGGGUGAGUAACACGUGAGUAACCUGCCCUUGACUCUGGGAUAACUGCGGGAAACUGUAGCUAAUACCGGAUACGACCCUCGGAGGCAUCUCCUGGGGUUGGAAAGAAUUUCGGUCAAGGAUGGACUCGCGGCCUAUCAGCUAGUUGGUGAGGUAAAGGCUCACCAAGGCGACGACGGGUAGCCGGCCUGAGAGGGUGACCGGCCACACUGGGACUGAGACACGGCCCAGACUCCUACGGGAGGCAGCAGUGGAGAAUAUUGCACAAGGGGCGCAAGCCUGAUGCAGCAACGCCGCGUGAGGGAUGACGGCAUUCGGGUUGUAAACCUCUUUUAGCAGGGAAGAAGCGAAAGUGACGGUACCUGCAGAAAAAGCACCGGCUAACUACGUGCCAGCCGCCGCAGUAA
rnacentral:rRNA from 1 species